AGCAAAGCUAUUAUGUUUGAAAUAAUUGAACUGGAAUAUUUUAACCCAAUAAGGAUGUAUUUUGCUUAAGCUACUGGAACUAUUCCUUAAAGUUGCUCCUCUGAACAAGGAGUAAAAUUUAUAUAUAUGAAAUAUGUGACUAAAGAUUUUGAUUUGUUAUUGGACCUUAUAUUAUUGUAAAACAAAAAAUUGAACCUUUUAAAAAAUAAUAAUAUUUCUUAAACUUUUGAAAUUGUGUUAAUUUUAGUCCUUGAAACUGAAUUAUAUUCAGUGGUAUUACCUUGUUGUUUAAAAUCUUGUUUGAUUAUUGGCACAAUCAUUCUGAAUCACAUCAACAAAUCACUAUUUUUAAAGAAUAAUUUCUAUAUUGUUUCUUCAGACCUUAUUUAAUCCUAAUAAGACUGUGGUGAAGAUGUUUGUUGUGAUAUAUGAUUUACGAGAUAUGCCAGCCAAUCAUCAGACAUUCCUACGACAAAGAACUUUUUCUGUACCUGUUAAACAAGAAGUGAAGAGAAGUGUUAAUAAAGAGAACAUCCGACACACAGAAGAACGGUUAUUACGCUACCUCAUACAUCUGAGGUUCCAGAGUUCUAAAUCUGGAAAGAUCUACCUCCAUAGAGACGUACGGCUCCUGUUCUCUAGAAAGUCAAUGGAGGUUGAUAGCGGUGCUGCAUAUGAACUCAAAUCUUACACUGAAUCACCAACAAACCCUCAGUUUUCACCAAGAUGUUGAUAAGGAGUGAUGAUUUAAAGUAUUUACUCAGUACCCAAGUUUGCAAGUAAAAAUUAGCAUAGAAUGGAGUGUACCAAAUUAACAAUCAGGAGAGUGGAUCCUCUCCUGUUACCCUGGACCAGUUUUUAUGAAAGGAUUCCUGAAAUGAAAUCCAUAUAUUCCAUGUAGACUGGAAAAACUCAUGUCCUAAUCCUUUUUGUACUGUUGAAACCACUUCAUUGGACAUGUUGCAAUAGCAAAACCCCCAGUUAGAUUAGUGUUUACACAUUUUCUCAGUUAUUUAAUAUUUAAUGUUUUCCUUAAUACUCAAGUGAUGUUUGUCUCUAGUGUUCUAAUGUAGCACAAAUCCUAUGUAAAAUCAUACUAUGUAUUUUUGACAUUAAUGUUGAAAUCUGAAAUAUAUGCACAAGUCUUUAAUUUUGUGUAAUGUGUUAAGUGCUGUUCAUUUAAGUUAUUGGAAAUGAGAAUAAAAUGUUGAGCUUCUUUAAAAGUAACACACUAUGCAAGCAUGUGUACUUUUUAUAUCUCUCAUGUUUAGUUUUUAUAACACCAUAUCCAGGUUGCUAUCUCACAUAGUAGUCCUUUAACAUAUUGUAUUAGCAGUGCAAUGUGGACUAAGCUGCUUCACUUUCCCUUUGCAAGUUCAGAUCAUCAUGCCCAUUCAUAGCCAGGAUUCCUUAUCCCCAAAACAGUUCUAUUUUUCCUUAAUCACUACUAUAGAGUCUUUACAUUAAAUUACUGUUGUAUGCUAGAUAAUUUUCUCAAAUUGUUAAAAGAAUAUGUACUUUGGAAACAAAUUAGUAUUUAUAUUGUAAAUAUAUUCAAAAAAAACUAAGAAA
rnacentral:sRNA from 1 species